rnacentral:rRNA from 1 species
UGGGGAAUUUUGCACAAUGGGCGCAAGCCUGAUGCAGCGACGCCGCGUGAGGGAUGAAGGCCUUCGGGUUGUAAACCUUUUUCGCUCAUGGUCAAGCCGCAGCUUUGGGUUGUGGUGAGGGUAGUGGGUAAAGAAGCGCCGGCUAACUACGUGCCAGCAGCCGCGGUAAUACGGAGGGCGCGAGCGUUGUCCGGAAUUAUUGGGCGUAAAGGGUGCGUAGGUGGUCUUUCAAGUCGGUGGUUAAAGGCUACGGCUCAACCGUAGUUAGCCUCCGAAACUGGAAGACUUGAGUGCAGGAGAGAAAAGGGGAAUUCCUAGUGUAGCGGUGAAAUGAGUAGAGAUUAGGAGGAACACCGGUGGCGAAAGCGGCUUUUUGGACUGCAACUGACACUGAGGCGCGAAAGCGUGGGGAGCAAACAGG